rnacentral:lncRNA from 1 species
GAGGAGACAAGACUGGACUACAUGGAUCAAGGGAGAAGACAUGGACAGUGCUUCUAAGUGUGAAGGAAAAACAAGCAAUUGGCACUCCAUCAUCAGUCUGAAACUUCCAGAGAGUCACAGCAGUCUCCCCCGCUCCUGGACUCCAGCCAUGUCAGAUAGAAGAAAACUUUCCAGAAUAACUUUCUGAAGUAUUGGAGCCCUUGGUAAUCGUGAGUAAUUACACACGUAGUUCCUCUGACUGACCAAACUAAAAGCCUGAACUCAAACAGGAAGAUUCUGACUGCUGUGUUGUACAACUUCCAACUCUAGUUUGAAAUUGUUCUUGAUCUCCACCCCCCUCAAGAUUCAGAAUUGGGAUUAGUCAGUUUAGACACAGAGCUAGAAAAAUGACACUUUUGUUAAUGAAAUUAAAAUAGCCCAUGUGCCUAAGAAAUAAGAAAGCAAAGAAUCUUCUUAUAAGGG